rnacentral:pre_miRNA from 1 species
AAAAUACUCCCUCCGUCCGGAAAUACUUGUCAUCAAAAUGGAUAAAAGGAAAUGUAUCUAGAUGUAUUUUAGUUUUAGAUACAUAUCUUUUUAUCCAUUUUGAUGACAAGUAUUUUCGGACAGAGGGAGUAGAAA